rnacentral:lncRNA from 10 species
CUGCCACCACGCCCAGCUAAUUUUUUGUACUUUUAGUAGAGACGAGGUUUCACCGUGUUAGCCAGGAUGGUCUCGAUCUCCUGACCUCGUGAUCCGCCCACCUCCGCCUCCCAAAGUGCUGGGAUUACAGGCGUGAGCCACCGUGCCCAGCUACACAUUUUCUUUAUCCAUUCAUCUGUUGAUGGACACUUAAGUUGUAUCCUAAUCUCAGCUAUUGUGAACAGUGCUGCAAUAAACAUGGGAGUGCAGAUAUCUCUUCAAUAUACUGAUUUCCUUUCUUUUGGAUAGAUACCCAGCAGUGGGAUUGCUGUAUCAUGUGGUAGCUCUUAUUUUUAGUUUUUACAGGAACCAUCAAACUGUUCUUUAUAGUGGUUGUACUAAUUUACCUUCCCACCAACAGUGUACGAGGGUUCCCUUUUCACUACAUCCUUGCCAGCAUUUGUUGUUGCCUAUCUUUUGGAUAAAAGCCAUUUUAACUGGGAUGUGAUGAUACCUCAUUACAGUUUUGAUUUGCAUUUGUUGAGCAUCUUUUCAUAUACCUAUUUGCCA